rnacentral:rRNA from 1 species
CCCUUAGAUGUUCUGGGCCGCACGCGUGCUACACUGAGUGGAUCAGCGGGUCAGGUUGCGCGAAAGCGUUUCCUAAUCUUUAAAUCCGCUCGUGAUGGGGAUUGACGGUUGCAAUUUUCUGUCAUGAACGAGGAAUACCUUGUAAGCGCGGGUCAUCAUCCCGCGCUGAAUACGUCCCUGCCCUUUGUAUACACCGCCCGUCGCUCCUACCGAUUGAGUGGUCCGGUGAGGCUUUGGGAUCUGAGCGGAAAGAGCGUUUCGCUGUUUCUGCUCGGAAAACUCAGUCGAACCUUAUCAUUUAGAGGAAGGAGAGGUCGUAACA